rnacentral:rRNA from 1 species
GGCUUGGUUGGGCAGUCCGCCUCACAGUGUGUACUGUCUGAUUGAGUCUUACCUCUUGGUGAGCCGGCGUGCACUUUAUUGUGUGCAUUGGGGAACCAGGACUUUUACCCUGAGAAAAUUAGAGUGUUCAAAGCAGGCCUAUGCCUGAAUACAUUAGCAUGGAAUAAUAAAAUAGGACAUGCAGUUCUAUUUUGUUGGUUUCUAGAGUUGCUGUA